rnacentral:rRNA from 1 species
AGUGAACGCUGGCGGCAUGGUUAAGACAUGCAAGUCGAACGAAAAGCAAAUCUUCGGAUUUGUGGAAAGUGGCGAACGGGUGCGUAACACGUGAGCAACCUGCCCUAAAGUGCGGAACAGCCUGUCGAAAGAUGGAUUAAUGCCGCAUGUGGCUCUUCUUCGCAUGAAGAAGUAGCUAAAGCUUGUAAUGGCGCUUUAGGAUGGGCUCGCGGCCUAUCAGCUUGUUGGUAAGGUAACGGCUUACCAAGGCUAAGACGGGUAGCUGGUCUGAGAGGAUGAUCAGCCACACCGGGACUGAGACACGGCCCGGACACCUACGGGUGGCAGCAGUUUCGAAUCAUUCACAAUGGGCGAAAGCCUGAUGAUGCAAUGCCGCGUGGAGGAUGAAGGCCUUAGGGUCGUAAACUCCUGUCAUUGGGGAGCAACAAAUAGGUUCAUAGCCUAUCAUGAGUUAACCCAAAGAGGAAGAGGUGGCUAACUCCG